GACGAACGCUGGCGGCGUGCUUAACACAUGCAAGUCGAACGGAAAGGCCCUGCUUUUGUGGGGUGCUCGAGUGGCGAACGGGUGAGUAACACGUGAGUAACCUGCCCUUGACUUUGGGAUAACUUCAGGAAACUGGGGCUAAUACCGGAUAGGAGCUCCUGCUGCAUGGUGGGGGUUGGAAAGUUUCGGCGGUUGGGGAUGGACUCGCGGCUUAUCAGCUUGUUGGUGGGGUAGUGGCUUACCAAGGCUUUGACGGGUAGCCGGCCUGAGAGGGUGACCGGCCACAUUGGGACUGAGAUACGGCCCAGACUCCUACGGGAGGCAGCAGUGGGGAAUAUUGCACAAUGGGCGGAAGCCUGAUGAAGCAACGCCGCGUGCGGGAUGACGGCCUUCGGGUGGUAAACCGCUUUAGCCUGUGACGAAGCGUGAGUGACGGUAAUGGGUAAAGAAGCACCGGCUAACUACGUG
rnacentral:rRNA from 1 species